UAGGGAAUCUUCCGCAAUGGGCGAAAGCCUGACGGAGCAACGCCGCGUGAGUGAUGAAGGUCUUCGGAUUGUAAAACUCUGUUAUUAGGGAAGAACAAACGUGUAAGUAACUGUGCACGUCUUGACGGUACCUAAUCAGAAAGCCACGGCUAACUACGUGCCAGCAGCCGCGGUAAUACGUAGGUGGCAAGCGUUAUCCGGAAUUAUUGGGCGUAAAGCGCGCGUAGGCGGUUUUUUAAGUCUGAUGUGAAAGCCCACGGCUCAACCGUGGAGGGUCAUUGGAAACUGGAAAACUUGAGUGCAGAAGAGGAAAGUGGAAUUCCAUGUGUAGCGGUGAAAUGCGCAGAGAUAUGGAGGAACACCAGUGGCGAAGGCGACUUUCUGGUCUGUAACUGACGCUGAUGUGCGAAAGCGUGGGGAUCAAACA
rnacentral:rRNA from 1 species